rnacentral:lncRNA from 1 species
CUUGUGAUUUGUGAAGAUCAGAUUCUCUCCUAGUUGCAAUUAUCGAGUGAUUGGUCGGGACAGCCAAUAUAGGAGUCAACUCUGUUUUGCCAUGGAAUGACUGGGAAUAUGAAGUCCACUAGAGAGGAUUUAGCGCCUUUUUUUUUUUUGGUACAUGACGUGUCUAUCGACAUCAAAACGUCUAUGAUGUCUAUCAAUCUCAAUAUUUGCUGAUUAAAUUCAGUUUUUCGAAGGUGCUCAUAGAGAUAUGAUAUGUGUGUAUGUGUUCAUAGAGGUAAGUGUACGCUUGUGUAUGUGAGUAUUUAUGUUUGUAACUAGGUCUUGAAAAUGAAAUCUAAGUCUUUG